rnacentral:lncRNA from 1 species
GUAUACGACUAGAGCGACAUACUAAAACACACGCAAGAUCUGUCUUGAAAAAUGCUGUUGCCGGGGACCCUCAGAUCAUGUUACCUGAGCAUCCUCAGAUGAACCAAGCAUGCAAUCAGAGGGAGAAUGUCGCGUAUCCAGUGUUCACCUCUGAUACCCACAUCCACCCCCAAGCGAUGCGCACCUUCUCACUGACCUUCUCUGCUUGGAUCAGAGGCAGUUUUCUUAUUUCCUUGCCUCGAGGUGCUGUGUCAUACAGCAGCAGGAACAGACAGUCAGACACAAGGACUCGAGGCAAUGGCGGCGGCUGUGUAUGGGGAUUGACUCGGCACCUGGGACUCAAGACGAGAUAACCGCUUUAUCAGAUUAAAGACUGCGAUUGGCAAA